rnacentral:rRNA from 1 species
UACGUAGGGGGCAAGCGUUGUCCGGAAUUAUUGGGCGUAAAGAGCUCGUAGGCGGUCCGUUAGGUCGGAAGUGAAAUCUCAAGGCUCAACCUUGAAAUCGCUUUCGAUACUGGCGGACUUGAGGCAGGUAGGGGAAGGUGGAAUUCCUGGUGUAGCGGUGAAAUGCGCAGAUAUCAGGAGGAACACCGGUGGCGAAGGCGGCCUUCUGGGCCUGUUCUGACGCUGAGGAGCGAAAGCGUGGGGAGCAAACAGG